rnacentral:misc_RNA from 1 species
CGACCUCGAGCGCAGCUUGGUGUUGAGGACUGUCGCCCCGCGGCAUCCUUUAAAAGCAUUGGCGGCAGCGCAGCUCAAUCGCAACAAAAUGCGUGCAAAGCUGUUGAUUGUUUGCCAUGACACCACCCUUCACAGGGUUUUUUACA